rnacentral:rRNA from 1 species
CAGUAGCCACGGUAAUACGUAGGUGGCAAGCGUUGUCCGGAAUCAUUGGGCGUAAAGGGCUCGCAGGCGGUUUCUUAAGUCUGAUGUGAAAGCCCCCGGCUCAACCGGGGAGGGUCACUGGAAACUGGGAAACUUGAGUGCAGAAGAGGAGAGUGGAAUUCCACGUGUAGCGAUGAAAUGCGUAGAGAUGUGGAGGAACACCAGUGGCGAAGGCGACUCUCUGGUCUGUAACUGACGCUGAGGAGCGAAAGCGUGGGGAGCGAACAGGAUUAGAUACCCGAGUAGUCCCUGUCUCUUAUAC